ACGAACGCUGGCGGCGUGCCUAAUACAUGCAAGUCGAGCGAACAGAAGCAGCAGAAUUACUUCGGUAAGGACGCUGUGGAAGUUAGCGGCGGAUGGGUGAGUAACACGUGGGUAACCUACCCUUAAGACUGGGAUACCACUUGGAAACAGGUGCUAAUACCGGAUAGGAGUAUGAGCUGCAUGGCUUAUACUUUAAAGGCGGCGAAAGCUGUCACUAAAGGAUGGACCCGCGGUGCAUUAGCUAGUUGGUAAGGUAACGGCUUACCAAGGCGACGAUGCAUAGCCGAGUUGAGAGACUGAUCGGCCACAUUGGGACUGAGACACGGCCCAAACUCCUACGGGAGGCAGCAGUAGGGAAUCUUCCACAAUGGACGCAAGUCUGAUGGAGCAACGCCGCGUGAGUGAAGAAGGUUUUCGGAUCGUAAAGCUCUGUUGUUGGUGAAGAAGGAUAUAGGUAGUAACUGGCCUAUAUUUGACGGUAAUCAACCAGAAAGUCACGGCUAACUACGUGCCAGCAGCCGCGGUAAUACGUAGGUGGCAAGCGUUGUCCGGAUUUAUUGGGCGUAAAGCGAGCGCAGGCGGAGAAAUAAGUCUGAUGUGAAAGCCCACGGCUCAACCGUGGAACUGCAUCGGAAACUGUUUUUCUUGAGUGCAGAAGAGGAGAGUGGAACUCCAUGUGUAGCGGUGGAAUGCGUAGAUAUAUGGAAGAACACCAGUGGCGAAGGCGGCUCUCUGGGCUGCAACUGACGCUGAGGCUCGAAAGCAUGGGUAGCGAACAGGAUUAGAUACCCUGGUAGUCCAUGCCGUAAACGAUGAGUGCUAAGUGUUGGGAGGUUUCCGCCUCUCAGUGCUGCAGCUAACGCAUUAAGCACUCCGCCUGGGGAGUACGACCGCAAGGUUGAAACUCAAAGGAAUUGACGGGGGCCCGCACAAGCGGUGGAGCAUGUGGUUUAAUUCGAAGCAACGCGAAGAACCUUACCAGGUCUUGACAUCCACUUAAACUUACAGAGAUGUAAGGUGUGCUUGCACAAAGUGAGACAGGUGGUGCAUGGUUGUCGUCAGCUCGUGUCGUGAGAUGUUGGGUUAAGUCCCGCAACGAGCGCAACCCUUGUCAUUAGUUGCCAGCAUUAAGUUGGGCACUCUAAUGAGACUGCCGGUGACAAACCGGAGGAAGGUGGGGAUGACGUCAAGUCAUCAUGCCCCUUAUGACCUGGGCUACACACGUGCUACAAUGGGCAGUACAACGAGAAGCAAGCCGGUGACGGCAAGCGAAUCUCUUAAAGCUGUUCUCAGUUCGGACUGCAGUCUGCAACUCGACUGCACGAAGCUGGAAUCGCUAGUAAUCGCGGAUCAGCACGCCGCGGUGAAUACGUUCCCGGGCCUUGUACACACCGCCCGUCACACCAUGAGAGCCGGGGGGACCCGAAGUCGGUAGUCUAACCGCAAGGAGGACGCCGCCGAAGGUAAAACUGGUGAUUGGGGUG
rnacentral:rRNA from 1 species